rnacentral:rRNA from 1 species
AUUGAACGCUGGCGGCAGGCCUAACACAUGCAAGUCGAGCGAGCGGCGGACGGGUGAGUAAUGUCUGGGAAACUGCCUGAUGGAGGGGGAUAACUACUGGAAACGGUAGCUAAUACCGCAUACCAUCAGAUGUGCCCAGAUGGGAGUAGCUAGUAGGGGGGGUAACGGCUCACCUAGGCCACGAUCCCUAGCUGGUCUGAGAGGAUGACCAGCCACACUGGAACUGAGACACGGUCCAGACUCCUACGGGAGGCAGCAGUGGGGAAUAUUGGACAAUGGGCGAAAGCCUGAUCCAGCCAUGCCGCGUGUGUGAAGAAGGUCUUCGGAUUGUAAAGUACUUUCAGCGGGGAGGCGUUACCCGCAGAAGAAGCACCGGCUAACUCCGUGCCAGCAGCCGCGGUAAUAC